rnacentral:misc_RNA from 1 species
GAUGAAGAACCCAGCGAAAUGCGAUAAGUAAUGCGAAUUGCAGAAUCCGUGAGUCAUCGAAUCUUUGAACGCACAUUGCGCCCUCUGGUAUUCCGGAGGGCAUGCCUGUUCGAGCGUCAUUAUCACCCCUCAAGCCCGGCUUGUUGUUGGAUGCAGCGCUUAUCCCGCUCCUCCCAAAGAUAAUGACGGCGUCUGCGACGACUCCUGUACACUGAGCUUUCGGGCACGUACACGGCUAGAAGUCCAGACCCGGUCGCCGUCCCCCCCGCGGGGACACCCAUUACCACAAGGUUGACCUCGGAUCAGGUAGGAAUACCCGCUGAACUUAAGCAUAUCAAUAAGCGGAGGA